GAGGCCUCACCUGGAGUGGGUGGGGAAAAUGGCUGUUAGGUGGAGCCUGGGAAGUUCUGUGCCCACAUGUGAAGGAUGGAGGGUGAUGGAGCACUGGGUCGGGCUAACCAGAGAGGUGGUGGAGUCUCCUCUGAAGGUGUAGCUGUGCAGCCUGCUGUAGGAAUCCUGCUUUGUCAGGGGGUUUGGAUGCAAUCUCUAGAGGUCCCUUCCAACCCCUACAGUUCUGUGACUGUAGGCAUCAGGACUGUAAGCUGGCUGGGACCUGCUGGACUUCUUAUCAAUUUAUUGCAUAAAUAAAUUUAGCAGUUGCGUAAGCUGUGGGAUAAAUUGUCAAGGAAGUUUCUGUAAUUUUUGGCCUUAAUGCUAGAUAAGAUCAAG